rnacentral:lncRNA from 1 species
CCUCAUCAUCAUCACCACGCCUCUCAGAACCAUAGCUCGGUUUCUCCUCAUCAUCACUCCUUCCAUAGCUAGUUUUCCUCCCAUAGCUUGGCUUCUCCUCGUCAUCACUCCUUCCAUAGCUAGGUUUCCUCUCAUACUCAGUCCUCCCAUAGCUCGGCUUCUCCUCAUCAUCACUCCUUCCAUAGCUAGGUUUCCUCUCAUAUUCACUCCUCCCAUAGCUUGGCUUCUCCUCCUCAUCACUCCUCCCAUAGCUUGGCUUCUCCUCCUCAUCACUCCGUCCAUAGCUAGUUUUCCUGCCAUAGCUCGGCUUCUCCUCCUCAUCACUCCUUCCAUAGCUAGGCUUCCUCUCAUACUCACUCCUUCCUCCUCCAUACCCUUCUUCCUCCCCAUAACCACUCUUCUUCCUCCCCGAUCCAUACUCCGAUUCACCACUCUCAUACUCAUUCUUCCGCCCAUAACCCUCACUCUCCUCCUCAUUCUUUCUCCCACCAUAACCAGACCCAUAUCCAGAUUCUUGCUUCCUUCCACCAUAACCAGACCCAUAACCACUUUCCUCAUUCUUUCUACCAUAUUCAGACUCCUGGGCCCCACCAUAUCCUGACCCAUAUCCAG